CCAUUUUCGAGUGAUGCCUGAUCGCAUCAAUUCAGCGGGAGAGACUGGUCACUCUGGCCUGGGUGGAGAACCCUAUGGAGAACCUGCCGAAAAAUCACAAAAAAAUACAAAAAAAUUUCCUGUAGAUGGAGGCGGUUCGGGGAGCUUCUUUGGGGCCAGCGCCAUCGACACGUCGCAGUCAGAAAAGGCGAUUUGCCAAGCGUUUCCCCCCGAAAAGUCUCCCCUUGGAUUUGCUGGAUGAUUUAUCCACCUCCAUCUCCUUUAGAGAGCGCGCUUGUCUCCGUGGGGUUUUGACCUUUCUAUAGAGGAGAACUGAUUCUGGAGAACAACUUAACUUCUGUGAUUGAAAACCCCUGUGUUCUAUGUGAAAAGAGAUGGGAGAUUAAGGCUAUAACAAAUUAAGAUAGGCUGUACUGGUACUAUGUGAUAACAACUUGUUGGCCUCAAUUGAACAAGCAUUCUUGUCCCCCGAAGGAUGGACAAAUGGGCUGGAGAAUGAUUGUUAAGAGGAGGUUAUAUGACUGGUUAUUCAAAGAAAGAGGACUUUCCCGUUCUGAAUACAUGCCACCACUAUUCAUGGGUGGGAAAGACUUGGUAGGAGUUUUUUAUCCAGGGCUACAAGUGAGACUUCACAAUAUUUCUGAAGUAACUCUUAAGAGAGCUUGGUUCCUCUUUGGCUCACUGAAAAGGAUUCCUGCAUGCUGAGUCUGUGAUAUGAUACUACAAGGAAUCAUUUCAGAGAAUUACAAGGAUUUUGUUGGCAUUGCCACCGUCCCAAGCUUUAAGUCUCAAGUAAGUAUCUGAACUUAACCAAAAUAGCCCUGUAAUUUCAGCUAUUUUUAUGGCUGGUUUGGAUUACACUAUAAUUGUUUAAUAAAUUAUAUCAAUAUAGUCUCAAACCCCAAAUCAAUCAUUCUUUGGUUCAUUUAUGCAACAAAAACACAUUCUAUAUGUUAGAAUCAACCCAGAAUUGCAUGAUAUGAAAUAAGCCCAGAAAUAGGUUUCACCUGUAAGCUUCUAACCUCUUUCUGGCCAAAAUCAACAUUUGUUCAAACUCAGCAAGAGGCAAAAAAUCAGGGCAGUACAAAACAGUCCGUGUCCUAGGAUCAGAGAUUAUUAAAAUGUUCGCUUGUACUGGGCUUGUUCAUCUCCUUGUUCUUCCUCACUUUUGCUGAUCUUCUGGACCCUGAGCUCUGCCUGCCUGGAUCUACACACAGUACCUGCUUGAUCUUCCCUGCCUUUGCUGAAAUCCUGGACUUUGCCUAUCUACAUGAACCCAUGGUACCCGCUUGUUCCUCUCUGCCUUUGCUGAUCUCCUGGAUUCUGGACUUUCGUUUUUCUACUGGAACUGAUUUGCUCCUCCCUAUGUUAAUUGACCCUACUCUGUCCUUAACCCCUUGCCUGCCUAUACUUUUGGUAUCUAGCAAAUGCUGGUGAAUUAACUGAAUACCCUUCCCUGCCCUUUCCUUCCUACCACAUUCCAUGGCAUCCAAGCCCCCCUGCAUGACAGUGGGAAUUUAUUGGCUUUUAAAAAUAAAUAAAUAUGAUAAGAAAAGUG